GUAGGUAACCUGCCCAGAAGCGGGGGACAACAUUUGGAAACAGAUGCUAAUACCGCAUAAACCACGGCACCACAUGGUGUUGUGUUGAAAGAUGGCGUAAGCUAUCGCUUUUGGAUGGACCCGCGGCGUAUUAGCUAGUUGGUAAGGUAACGGCCUACCAAGGCGAUGAUACGUAGCCGAACUGAGAGGUUGAUCGGCCACAAUGGGACUGAGACACGGCCCAUACUCCUACGGGAGGCAGCAGUAGGGAAUCUUCCACAAUGGACGCAAGUCUGAUGGAGCAACGCCGCGUGAGUGAAGAAGGCUUUCGGGUCGUAAAACUCUGUUGUUGGAGAAGAACGUGUGUGAGAGUAACUGUUCAUGCAGUGACGGUAUCCAACCAGAAAGCCACGGCUAACUACGUGCCAGCAGCCGCGGUAAUACGUAGGUGGCAAGCGUUAUCCGGAUUUAUUGGGCGUAAAGCGAGCGCAGGCGGUUUUUUAAGUCUGAUGUGAAAGCCUUCGGCUUAACCGAAGAAGGGCAUCGGAAACUGGGAAACUUGAGUGCAGAAGAGGACAGUGGAACUCCAUGUGUAGCGGUGAAAUGCGUAGAUAUAUGGAAGAACACCAGUGGCGAAGGCGGCUGUCUGGUCUGUAACUGACGCUGAGGCUCGAAAGCAUGGGUAGCGAACAGGAUUAGAUACCCUGGUAGUCCAUGCCGUAAACGAUGAGUGCUAGGUGUUUGGAAGGGUUUCCGCCCUUCAGUGCCGGAGCUAACGCAUUAAGCACUCCGCCCUGGGAGUACGACCGCAAGGUUGAAACUCAAAGGGAUUUGACGGGGGGCCGCACAGCGGUGGAGAAUUGUGG
rnacentral:rRNA from 1 species